GCGAAGGGCGGGCCGGGGGCGGGGGGAGGACGGGGGGGGGGAGCGUGGUCCGGAAUCACUGGGCGUAAAGGGCGCGUAGGCGGUUCGGUAAGGUGCUGGUGAAAUCCCGGGGAUCAACUCCGGGGCUGCCGGCAAGACGGCCGGACUCGAGCACGGUAGAGGCAGAUGGAAUUCCCGGUGUAGCGGUGGAAUGCGUAGAUAUCGGGAAGAAUACUGGUGGCGAAGGCGUUCUGCUGGGCCGUUGCUGACGCUGAGGCGCGACAGCGUGGGGAGCAAACAGGAUUAGAUACCCUGGUAGUC
rnacentral:rRNA from 1 species